AAAUUUAAUAGUAUAAUUACAAUACAUUUAAUUUCGACUUAAAAGAUGAUUUUUAAUAAAUCUAAAUUUA
rnacentral:tRNA from 1 species